ensembl:lncRNA novel transcript, antisense to PGM5
UAUAAGAGGAGGAAGAGAGACCUGAGCUAGCAUGCUCAGCCCCCUCACCCCCUGUGCUACCUUGGGACUCUGCAGAGUCCUCGACAGUAAGAAGGCUCUCACCUGUUAUGCCCCUGGACCUUGGACUUCUCAGCCUCCAUAACUGGUGCCUGUGCAGCAGUAUUCACUGUGAUAGGAAGUGAGAAGCAGUCUGAGUGUUCAUUGCUGAGGGAAUCAAGGGCAAAAUAUCAUGGAUGCACUCAUGGACAAAUAAGCAGCAGUUUGAAGCAACAACCUAGAUGGAUGUACAGCCAUCAAGAGGAUCUUAAAGUGUGGUCUUUAGUGGAAAAAAAGGAGGCAGAACUCCAUAGGCUGCCCUCUGGCUUCCAGUGCAGUUUGGUUAUAGGAGGCACCAGCAGGAGGUUGGAGGGUGAGAAGAGACAAGUUGGGGCAUUUCUCCCCCCUGCCAAGUUCAGCUCUUGUCUGACAGCCCACUUUUCACAACUCCAGACCUCACUAGGCUGUGGUCACCCUGACCUCUCCCCUGGACCCUUCUUAGUCCUAGGGGUGUUAACAGCUUCCUGCUAUUGCUGAUGCUAAGGUUACAUUUGAACAUAUUUAUCUGCUAAAGCAAAAUAAUUCCCAUCAUUCUAUAGCAGAAGCAAUGUAUGGGAGACUGAGUAAUUACAUAUAAGCUCACAUCACUAUCUCUUCCACCACUGUCAUCCAUCAUGACUGAUCUGGGAGAUGAAACAGCACAGAUCUAAAGGACGUGGUAAGAAUCGAGAUCACCAGAGAUCAGUAGAUACUUGCAUACUUGCAGGAUUAACACUGUCUGGAUUCCAACGAUCAGCUGAGUAUGUUCAAGAUAAAGCUAUAGUACAUAUUUU